rnacentral:rRNA from 1 species
AUACCCUGGUAGUCCACGCCGUAAACGUUGGGCGCUAGGUGUGGGGGUCCUUCCACGACCUCCGUGCCGCAGCUAACGCAUUAAGCGCCCCGCCUGGGGAGUACGGCCGCAAGGCUAAAACUCAAAGGAAUUGACGGGGGCCCGCACAAGCGGCGGAGCAUGCGGAUUAAUUCGAUGCAACGCGAAGAACCUUACCAAGGCUUGACAUGCACGGGUAAGUUCCAGAGAUGGUUCCCCCGCAAGGUCCGUGCACAGGUGGUGCAUGGUUGUCGUCAGCUCGUGUCGUGAGAUGUUGGGUUAAGUCCCGCAACGAGCGCAACCCUUGUCUUAUGUUGCCAGCGGGUUAUGCCGGGGACUCAUGAGAGACUGCCGGGGUCAACUCGGAGGAAGGUGGGGAUGACGUCAAAUCAUCAUGCCCCUUAUGUCUUGGGCUUCACGCAUGCUACAAUGGCCGGUACAAAGGGCUGCGAAACCGUGAGGUGGAGCGAAUCCCAAAAAGCCGGUCUCAGUUCGGAUUGGGGUCUGCAACUCGACCCCAUGAAGUCGGAGUCGCUAGUAAUCGCAGAUCAGCAACGCUGCG